rnacentral:lncRNA from 1 species
CCUGUUAAUGGCCAUGGGAAAAAGAAACAGACUAGAUGCUUGAGAAAACAUGUAACAUUUCCAGAAACACGAAUGUCAAAGCAGUUUGGCCAUUCUACUAUCACGAUAAAAGAGCUGGUUCUCUUAUAACGCUGGAAUAUAGGUGAUGAAUCCACGUCAACUAUUGGUGAAAUUAUUUAUUAAGGUAAUGAAAAGAAUAGCAUAAUUAAGAAAAAAAAGUUUAUACUUCUUGAUAUUAUAUCUUGGCAUAGGUAGUUUCUAAUGUAAUCCCAAAAUUUGGCUUUUACUUACGCAGAAGAAGGAAAGACUGAAGCAAUGCUGGCAUAUUCUAUGAAUCAGCCACCAACUCACUAGCCAUAACAUAAAGGACCUUAACUUGGAAAAUUACAUAGUGAGCCCUAUAGGCAUCACCUCAAAAAGUGGUAGAGAAGGAGAGAGGUGCGUGGCAGAGUUGUAUGUAGAACUAUUGCCAACCAGCCAUUCUAUAUAUGUUCAGGUGUGGGAUUCUAUUAUUUGUUUAUGAUAGAUGGCAAUACCUUUUGCACUUCCUGUAUUCAAAUAGACAAAUCAUAAAGCUAAAAACUGUUUCAAUUUUCUGGGCCAUCACUGAGACAAUUAUGUGAAAG